GUUGGUCUGUUAUCAUUUGCACACAUUGGAAGGAGCAAAAGGGGCACAUUUAGAAAAUAAACUUUCUUGAGCUCCAUCUGGGGAAAGAAUUGUCACGUUGGUUCUCAUGUAAAGAUUUAGGAUACCAUUAUCCUUAAUGUGAUGCAUGUGUUCAUAGUGCCCUUGAUUCAAUGCCCCCAUAUGAGUGAAGGCUUUGUCCCAAUGUUAAUCCCCACUGCUCUUCACUGCUUAAAUGGCAGUUAUCUCUGAGACCAAAUUUGGACACUGAUAUCUGUACAAUGAUUUGUACAUAUUGGGCAUGUACAGAUGUGUUACAAACUAUACACAAACCACAGGGGAGGGCAGGAGAUUAAAAUGUGAUAAAUGUUUUGAGGUGUGAAAGGUCCGCUGAACUGAACUUUCCAAUUGAUUUUCUUUUACCUGUAGCUUUGCAUGGGCCAGAGGUAGCAGCAACACACGGAUAUACACAGCAGUGUAUCAAGGUUUAUGUAUUAAUAAAACUUACCUUUUUGAUUGACCUGCUAAUUUCACUAUUUAUAUACCACUAGCAUAGCUAUCAGGGAAUCUAAAACCCAAAUUAUGAAGACUGCCUUAUUUUAAAGCCCUACAGUCAAUCCAAUGAACAAAAAAACGUGCCUCAUCAGUCUACAGUGAGUACAAUUUAGUUGCCAGCUCCAUCCUGCAGGACCCUUCCUUGUUUCAUGUCAGUUGUCAACACAUUUUUUUACUGUUGCAACAUGCCAACAGGUCUCUCUCUCUCAUCGGCUGACUCGUGACACUAGCAAAGCCCCGGGUAGUUGGGUUUCUGCCAAGCAUGACUGUCACUUUUACAAUGAGGCUUGACAUCACAGUCCCACCGCAACACUGCAAUGUGUGCGAUAAAGGCGGCCCGUGCCGGUCUGCGAGGGAUAGGGCACGUGAACAAUAAGGACCCCGCUCUGCUUGUUCAGCUUAGCUUGAAAGUUUUUUAAAUGGGCCACCUGCCACCCUGGGAAGGUGACAGUUUGCUUUCCGCCGCCUGUAAUGAUGUCGAAGAACCAACUCUGCCGAAGUAGAGGAGAAUUUUAGUCAGGCAUGUUUUUUUUUUUUUACCUUCCUGCUGAUUCACAGGAACAAGCCUUCUUGGUACAAACACACAACUGCUGCUGUAUUUGAGUGAUUAAUAGAUGUUGUCAACCCUUUAAAACAUGACUAAGGGAAAGAAUGUGGUAGUGGCAAUGAAUGUCUUUUUUUUUUUUUUUUUUUUAGCGCUCUGAAACAAAGAGAAAGACAAGGUGAUACGAAAAGCUGCAUAUAGACCAUUUCACAGUAGUUAACGUAAACAUUUUAAACAUGACAGUGUACUUCCUGGUGCGGUAUGAGGAACUGUUUAACCAUUCUAUAAAGGGGUAACUGACAUUGAAAAAGUACGAAUAAAAUGGUUCAUUCAGGUUGCAGCCUUGCUACAGAGCAUUGUAGCCUAUGAAUAAAGGAAUAAUAGAAAAAAAACAUUUGUUGAAAGAUAUAGUGUCGCAGCUGGAUGGAAAAUAAUAAUCACGGUAGCCUAGGACCUUUUUUUCUUUUAAUAUCUCAGCUGGAGCUAGCUGGAACUUUUAAAUAUUGAACACACGCGGUUUGAGAACAGUGCUGUGGAGAACUCCAUUGUAUUUGGGUCCAAUCUCAUUUUUAUUUAUCAUUUGUCCAAGUGUUUGGACGCUUCCAUCAAAUGCACGAUUCCAGGAAGCCUCAAGUCUGGAUUUGAGUAGAGGUCCUUCACAAGUUUAAUAAUAUCAGAAAUGUUGUGUGGUUAAAAACCUGAAAGUUUCUAUUUUGGGUCUGGGAGAGAAUACAAAAAUUCUACCCGUAGUCCAAAGUGCUGCCUGUUUAGUGUUGUUAUGAAAAGGUACAACUGCAGUUAAGCUUUACAUUCAGUAUCACCCUCCAGCGCAUUGAUCUUUGAGCUUGGCCUUCAAAGAUAUUGCUGACAAAAAUAAUAACCCUAACCCCAAAAUCUCUAAGUAAGCUGUAGCUCUAGAAAGCACCACUGAAUUAAAAGGAGCCUUAAUGUCCAAAUGUCACUUUUUUUUUUUUUUUUUAGCUGCCGGGCAUGCACACUGCGUAUCGACGUAACUUCAGAACAGACAUACACGUGUACUUCAAGUGUGGCUUUGGAUUACCUUCUCCUCCUAUGGCAUCACCAUGAAAAACAGUUCCAGUUCCGGUCUUUGUUCACUGGCACGCUUGGAUGUUUUCUUGUCGGCCGGCAGCCAAACAGCUAUUGAAUUGGCUGAUGAUGGCUGAGCAGCAGUGAAGCAC
ensembl:lncRNA